AUCGGUUCUUAUUCAUUGGGUUCUCGUGAACCAUAAUAUGGAUGUCUAUAUAAGCUGUGAGCAAAAGGACAUGACACCAAGCAUGAGAAUACCAAUACUAGUUCAAUAAUUUGGCAAGAACAAUUAGAAUACUAAUAGCCACUUGCCUAAAAAAAAUAAAAACUAGAAAUAUAUUUUUAUUUUUAAAUUUUUGACAACAGAUCAAACUCCGGUAAAUGUAUCUAAAUGAAGAAUACCCCAACUGAGUUAGGUAUUAUGAGGAUGGAUAUGCAACCUUCCAAAAC
rnacentral:lncRNA from 1 species